GGGAGAUCGCCCAGAGCUGUCAUAGAAGCGUGUGUUGGGUGUGUGUGGGGCGUGAGGCCUGGAGGUACCCUGCUAAGGGAGAGGGGGCGGCUGGGCCUGGAAAGGAGGUUCAGUCUGGAGAAGAGGAGGCUCAGGGGUGACUUUAUGGCUCUCUCCAACUCCUGGAAGGAGACUGUGGCAAGGAGGGGUCGGCAUCUGCUCCCAGUCAACAGCAAUAGGACAAGAGGAGUACUGCAAUCAAGAUGGCUACAGCAGGACUCUACAAAAUGGCUGAUGGGAGCAAUUAUGCAGCUAACUGCUUUCCUGCCAGGAACAUUUUGCGCAACAGGAGAGAGGCUGGGCAUUGCCUGCUGGCACACAUAGCC
ensembl:lncRNA